GGCUAAUUCUUAAUCUAAGAGCUUGCUAAAAUUAAUAAAUAAAAAAUGCGUAUGUUUGUCAAUUUUCUGAACGCAAUAUACGGUCACCAAUCUAAAAAGUUCAUGCUCGUGUCAAUUUCUUUAUUCCAGUCAAAUGUGUUCCACGAUUCUUACGCUUUUGGGUUUCAUUCACAGUCCAAAUUUCUUGACACAAAGUCAUUGUAUAAAUAAAAUAGAUCGAAGGUGUGACUUGCGUGAUUUGCGUUCUUGAACACAGCGUAUUACUCGUAACCAGAAUAUUUCAUGCCCUUCUCGUAAUCAAUCUCUAUUCUCGGUAAAUGAUGUUGUCAUCAUAGAUCAGCAGAAUAUAUUGACUUAAUCAUUCAG
rnacentral:lncRNA from 1 species